rnacentral:rRNA from 1 species
GACGAACGCUGGCGGCGUGCUUAACACAUGCAAGUCGAACGGAAAGGCCCCUUCGGGGGUACUCGAGUGGCGAACGGGUGAGUAACACGUGAGUAACCUGCCCUUGACUUCGGGAUAACUUCAGGAAACUGGGGCUAAUACCGGAUAGGAAUCCUUGCUGCAUGGUGGGGGUUGGAAAGCUUCGGCGGUUUUGGAUGGACUCGCGGCUUAUCAGCUUGUUGGUGGGGUAGUGGCUUACCAAGGCCUUGACGGGUAGCCGGCCUGAGAGGGCGACCGGCCACAUUGGGACUGAGAUACGGCCCAGACUCCCACGGGAGGCAGCAGUGGGGAAUAUUGCACAAUGGGCGGAAGCCUGAUGCAGCAACGCCGCGUGCGGGAUGACGGCCUUCGGGUUGUAAACCGCUUUCAGCAGGGGCGAAGCUUGUGGUGACGGUACCUGCAGAAGAAGCACCGGCUAACUACGUG